CAAUUCAGAAGCUUAUGAUCACAGAGUACAGAAAAAAAAUAUGAAACCACAACCAGGAUUACAUAAAACCAGAAAUUAAGAUUAUGGGCCUUAUCUAAUUACACAAGAUCUUAAAACUCAAGAUGGUUUCUACCUGCCAUUGCUGGCUUUGAAGAGGAUGAAGAUGGCUACAAACCAAGAAAUGAGGAGGCUUCUAAAAGCUAGGAUUGACCCAUCGAUCAUAGUCACAGUAAAAGGGAAAACACUUAUGGAUAUGGAGAUGCCACAAAAUUAGAGUAUUUGGGAUCGAAACCAUCACCUCACCUGCCUGGACUCAUAAUGAGCAAUACUCUGGGAUCUUUUGAUAUUUGUGGAUUACAUGUUACUGAAAGCCAAUUUACCUAAUUCUGAAUAAUACCAAUGCUUAUUUCGAGGUGCCAUGAAUGUGCUCAGCUGCUGUUAAGAACUGGCAAUUCAAAUAUCCCUUUUCCCACCACUUCCUCAUCUACAAAACUGAGAAGUCCUAAAGAGCACUUUAUUCUGAGGGUUAAAGCGAUGAUAAGAGGAACUGAAAGACAGUAGAUAUUAAGUACUAGUACCUCUUCCUGAGAUAUCCCUAGCAACUUGAAUUCAGUAGCAUUAUGGGGAAAAACUGACCAUCAAACACACAGCACUUCUGCAAUACCACUGACGUAAGAAAGGGUAAGUCAAAAUGCCAUCUGGCAUCCUGGAAGAAUUGACAUUGAUCAACACAAAUUUAAUCUAGGAAUCAGUUCAACAAUGUGUGUCUGCAAUGUACUCUUGUUCUUCCAAGCAACUUUAAGUCAGUGAUGUCCUACUUGAUAUUAAAGAUGACAGAAUAUUGUUGGCAAGUCUUCUUAAAAGCGUAAAAAACACACAAAAAAACUACAUACAGAAGACAUAUUAAACAAAUUGAAAAGGUGAGGUCGACUAUACUAUGUAUCCACAAUGAAAAGUAACCUGUUUAUCAGGUACCGAAAGAACCUCAGAAAUAACUAUAUAUUAUAUCCCAAAUUCCAAAAGUUGGGUUGAUUUGUUAUGAUGCAGAGAUGACAUCCGGAUGCAUACUUUAAAACAAUAUCCAUGAAAGUACCACUGAGGACACGUUUUCAGGGAUUUUUUUUUUCUCCUACCCUCUGGCCAGACGUCUCAGACCCUACAAAAAUAGUAAAUCUCUGUACAGCUGGCUCCCCUUUGUCUUCUGACAUGAGUGGAAGCAGCCUCAGUCCCUCAGCGAAUGCCCAGUCAUGAACCUUCCAGCCACAGAAUGCAUGUCUCUAAACUGGCUACAGAACAACAUUC
rnacentral:lncRNA from 1 species